rnacentral:rRNA from 1 species
GACAGAGGUGCCGAGCGUUAGGCGGAAUCACUGGGCUUAAAGCGUGUGUAGGCGGGCCGUUAAGUGCCCCGUGAAAUCCCCCGGCUCAACCGGGGAACGGCGGGGCAUACUGGCGGCCUUGAGCCACUUAAGGGCAGACGGAACAAGCGGUGGAGCGGUGAAAUGCGUAGAUAUCGCUUGGAACGCCGACGGCGAAAGCAGUCUGCUGGGGGUGUGCUGACGCUGGAGACACGAAAGCCAGGGGAGCAAACGGG